CGCCGGACCUCGUGCGGUACUCAUCUCGCGAAUCUCCCCAGGGCCGGAAGGCAGCAAGGAUAAGCGGGCUCUGGUAGGUGCACGGGGUCCCCUUUUU
rnacentral:SRP_RNA from 1 species